AAGGAUAAGAGGAGAGGAAAACUCCCACUAAAUAGAGCAACCCGGGAGGGAUUGCUUUAAGAGGAUGUCAAUCGGCUCUUCGAGAUGCUGGAGAGACUUGUCACUGCCCAGCAGACUAGGAAAGAGAUGAGGGAGCUGUCUGAUCCUCCUCCACCACUACUACAGUAUGAGCCACCUCCACAGCAAAAUGAUCCAGUGUCACGGUACAACCCUACUCCUCCACCAUAUCAUCUAGCACCACCACAGUACAAUGCGAUACCUCCGCCAUAUAACUAGGUGCCGUCAUAGGGCCACCUGGUCCCUCCCCAACAUAAUCUAGUUCCUCU
rnacentral:lncRNA from 1 species